GACACCAUAAUAUUUGUAAUAAAUUUAAUAAAACAAUAUUAUGUAUAUUUUAUUGAUUAACUGCUGCCAGAUGAAGCAACAUAACAACAUAAAAAUGAAUUCACUAAAAUACUAUCUUGCUCUCAUUAGAAUAUUCAAAUCUAAGGUCAAAAUUUCAUACAUAUAAAUCUGCAUUAUGUGCCCAUCAAAAUUCUGCCCUAAUCUUGUCCAUUGUAGGACAGGUUCUAAACAGUUUGUAAAGCUUGAAAAACACCACAAUAAAUAGAUGUUUCUCAUUAUUUAAAUGCAUUAAAAAGAUGUUCAUGAAAAUCUAAGAUUUAAUGCAUUUAGAGAAAAAUUCUGUAUUGGGAAAGUUUGAAGAUAUUACAAAAUAAUAAUAUUGUGAAGUUUCUAUUAAAUGAUAAAAAAUGUUAAUUAUCAUCUUCUCAGACUUUUAGUAAAACUGGGUGUCAAAUUAAAAAAAAGUGUCAGAGAAUAGCAACAGGGCUUGUAAAUCUAUGGGCAUCUACAAAAAGGUUUUUCUUUUAUCAUAUUAACCAGUUUAAUUAUCACAGCAGCCAUGUUUGAUGCAAUGUCAGAAAAACUUGUAAUCAUUUCUUAUCGUCUGAUAUCAUUCUGAAGCUAAGAUAUAUAAUAGAAAACAACUGUAACAAAUAAUCAGAGACUUAUAUAUCUUAACAACCAGUUUUGUACAAUAGCAGUACAAAGCCAAAACAAAAAUAUUCUGGUAAACAAAAUAAUUAGUGUAGAGUGGAAACCAAACAUAUGAAUAGAAGACAGACAUAUCUAAAUAUUUUCAAAAGAAUAUUAUAUAUAUAACCUUCAUGUCCACCCACUGGUGCAUAGGAAUAGAUGUAAAAGUCUGUUUCAAUAUAUAUUCUAACCAUUACAGGCCUUGCGGUCAUAAAACUUUCGAGCACGAUUUUUGUACUCACACUCGAGAAUCAACCAAUCAAAAUGCUUGAUUUCAUGUUUCGAGCAUGAUUUUUGUGCUCCGAGCACUGAGCAAAGUUUUAUGACUUCAACCCCAAUCUCAUUAUAUAAAGACUCAUUGUAAAUAUUAAAAUGAUAUAAAGAUUUUAUAGCACAUUUCAUAACAAAGGGUACAAAACUGAUUCUGAAA
rnacentral:lncRNA from 1 species